rnacentral:lncRNA from 1 species
CCUGAGGAGGCCCCACCGAAAUGGCAGUUUACUCAAGAUAGAUUUGAUCGAAUGGAGCAUCGCAUGCAUAAAGCGGAUGGAAGAUUUACAUAGUAACUUUCGGACUUACACGAUAUAAUUUUUAUGAGUUAGUUAGGCGUGCAAGUUUAGUUCCUGACAUUUGGAUCUGCCCACAUUUAUCCUCCUUCCGAUACACCUUUUGAUCAUGAGGAGGCGGGGGACGACGAUGUUGUAACUUAGGGGAGUAUCUCUUUUCCUCUUAUACUUACUGUGUACAAUGAGGACAUUGUCAUUAAUAAG